rnacentral:misc_RNA from 1 species
GAUGAAGAACGCAGCGAAAUGCGAUAAGUAAUGUGAAUUGCAGAAUUCAGUGAAUCAUCGAAUCUUUGAACGCACAUUGCGCCCCCCAGUAUUCUGGCGGGCAUGCCUGUUCGAGCGUCAUUUCAACCAUCAAGCCCUGCUUGUGUUGGGGUCCUGCGGCUGCCCGCAGGCCCUGAAAACCAGUGGCGGGCUCGCUAGUCACACCGAGCGCAGUAGCACAUCUCGCUCAGGGCGUGCGGCGGGCUCCAGCCGUUAAAGCACCCACCUUUCGCAAGGUUGACCUCGGAUCAGGUAGGAAUAUCCGCUGAACUUAAGCAUAUCAAUAAGCGGAGGA